GUCUCCGUCUUGGGCUCCACAGCAAGCUCCGCUUCCAGGAUCUUCUCCACAGGCAUGUCUUCGUUUACACUGCUGGUCGACUCCACCUCAUUCUCGUUGCGGUCCUUGGCUCGCUGGCGCUCCUCCUGGACGGCUGCUUUAACAGAUCAGACAUUUGAUCACCUCAGAGAAACAGGAAGUGGUUAGUGUUGAACAGUCACUCAGUCUGACUGUGGCCAGAGCUGUAUUAACCACAAUCCAAGCCCCUGUGGUUAGAGUGCGUAUGUGCCGAGCACAGUUCAUCCAAAAGACUCCAAAACCAGUCCCUAUUCACAGCACAUUCAAACACACAAACACUAAACGUUCUCUUUUCCCUAACCCUUCAACUAUUUUCCUCAACCGCGAAUCACAGAGGCAUCGCGGUGGUGGAGGGGUUCUGAAACGGGGGGAUUCUGCUUUACGGAAAGUGCUGUCUGGAGGUCAGCCCAAGGGUAAAAUACUUCUCCAGGAGUCAGAGAGAGAUUCGCUCAGCUCUUUUUGGGACGAGCGUGGCCCAGCUCUCCUGUGCCUCGGGGUACAGCGCGAGCUUAUGGGAUACAGAAACAGUCGAACGCAAGCAAAUGAUCAUAUCCUUGAAAGAAGCCGCGAUGAUAUAAAUAAGGGAGACGAAAGGUUGCUCUAAGGUCAUAGACAGUGGGUGUGAGAGCGAGACGUCAUGUAUGUAUGAUCGCAGUGCUCUCUCUUCGUCUACAGGGGAGGGAUUUAUUCUCUCACAUGAAACAAGAGCUAGAGAUCUGGGAAAGGGACUGGAUCUUGGCUUUGCAAUCUAUAGCCAUAAUAAAUCAUUUAUGAAGCCAAACUUGUCUGACUGCUUGCAAAGACACUGACCUGAGUUCAGCUUAGUGUUGUUUUAAACCUUGUUUAAAUGUUUAAGCUUGGGGACAUAUCAUGAAUGAACUGUAUUAUAUAUAUAUAUAUUUGAGAAUUUGAAACUGAUCAUAAGUUGAUACAUAUAUAAAGAAAACUGACAAAAAAAAAAAGAAGCUUUAAACAGACAGAUAAUUUGAAACAUUCUUAUAAUUCUUAUUAUUUAUAUAAUUAUUGUACUUUAUUGUACAACUUUUUGCCCUCGUCAUUCAUGGCAUAUCUGGGAACAAAUAAUUAUUAGAUAAUUUUUUAUGAAACGAAUACUAAAAUAAUAGUUAAUAGUUGAUGUUUAUGUUUGUCUAAAUGUGGAAUUGUACAUAGCAGAUGGUUUAGUGGUUUUAGAGACACUAUGCUAAGAAAAAAACCCAAAAAAAACCAAACAAAUAAUGUGUGUAUACAUGUCUGUAUCUAAACAGGCAUGCAAUGCAUGCUACAAUAGGAGUUCCUUUGCUUCAAUCUUAAAAACACAAAACAUGUCUCUCCAGACAAAAUGAUUCUAAAAACAACACUGAAAAAUUCUGACAUCUCAGAAAUUCAAAAUUAUUCUCUCUGACUGAGGGGCAAAAUAUAGUCUCUCAGAUCAAUAUUCCACCAGCUGUGUGCUAAAAUCUUCUAUUAGCAUGCUUAAGCACUUUCACGUCUCCUUUUCUUCGGGACAAGUGUGCAAAAAGUGCUAAUGCCCUCUUUUCUUCAGCAUGACAACCCACCCCUCACCUCUUCCUCUCUUUCAUCUCUCUCUGCCUCAGGUGAUGAUUUGGGAAAAAAUAUGGUCUUCUAUAUUUAGCAACAAAAACCUAUUUGAGGAAAAAAAAAACACUCCACCUUGCAUCAACGAGCCAUUUCCUGUUUUCUCUCAGUAUCUUACGAGUACACUACCUGGAAUCUUGAGUACAGUUGUUGCUCAUCAUGUGCAGAAUAAACUCGUUGACCAUUAUCUCACCGUGAGCUGAUCUUCAGACUGAACAUCUAGCGAGCGCUAAUUAAGCGCUGACCUGCAGUCUGACUAUUUAAUGGCUGAUUGAAGUAAUAUGAAUGUUUCUUCUAGAGUCACACAGAGGUGAGAUUGUGUCUAAUAGCAAGUACAAAAAAACAUCUCGCCUCACGAUGGAAAGCUCAGGUCAGUCAGUGCAAAGAACGAUGGACUCCUUCAACCAAGUCCUUAAGUACUUCGGCUAACACAAAUGGAUGCUAAAGGGGUGUUUACACAGCAUUGGAAGUCAUUUAUUUUAAUGAGAGCUAGUGGAGCGAACAGUGCUAUAAAAUUUCAGAGGGAAAAAGCAAAA